AGUGUAAGAAACAGCUCAUUGUUUGGAGGAAACUAAGCCAAGCAGCUUGAUGUUUUUGCAGCAUAAAAUAUGAGGCUGGAAGUGGUGUAAGCUCUGUGCCCUCAAGUUUGCCUAACAACAUGUGUGCUCAAUGGGAGGAAACUGACACAUGUUUGGAGAAUGAGUUACACCAAGCUGAGGAUGGAAACUGCCAAAGCACCAGAAGCAGAGCACAGAGAAACCCCAGGAUUGUUUUGGAAAAAUGAAGAAAAUGCAGGAAACCAGCCAAAUGCCAUGGGAUACAGAGGUGCUGACUGGCAGAAAUCCUGACUGGUAAAUGCAGUCUCAUAACCAGCUCUCAACCAAGUCAUGCUCUGGUGGAAAGGGGCAUUCCAUCUGCAGUCAGCCAGGAAAGUUGUCUGUGCCAGUUCUAUCCGGUUCUCCAACGAGACCAUG